GACAAUCAUUAAACAAUUAUUUUUGGUAACUCUCCAUGAACUGAAAGAGUCCUGGGGAGGUUUGAGGUUCGAAGCUUUCCGUCCGCUAAAGUGAUUGAAUAAAUAAAUUACCGAACAGAUUGCUAAUAAUUAACAUAAAAAAAUAUCCAAGCAGCUGAUUAAUAAUAUGAUUAUCUGAUGUUGAACUCGUUACGCAGAUAAAUUAUAACCUAAGAUCUCUGCCUGUUGGACCCGAAACAUACAAGGAGUUCCCAUAAGGAGAACCACUUCUGAAUUAUCACAAUUACUGUAGGCCAUUGAAUCAAAAUCUUCACACCUAAUAAUAAAGAAAUAAAACAUACAAUAUAUAGGUGGUAAUCUACCCAAAAAAAUACAUUAGAAAGGAAAAAACCAAAAAGAAAAAAAGGAUAAAAGAAGAUACUGAAUAACAAAUUAACCACAGCCAUAGUUUAUAUCUGGUUUUGCAACUAACGAUUCAAAAGGAAUUGCAACCCUCUCUUUCACAACGCAUCGACCCUCCCCACCUUCCAUAACCAGAACUCUCCCAGGUGGACAUUCAUUGCAUCUCUUUUCUUUAGUUGUUGGCUGCUGAAACAAGUCCAUCUUAUUAAAAGGUAUACUUCUUUUCCCAAGACUAGGUCCAACACCAGACAGGCUUAACACUGAUAUCACACCAAGAGUGAUCGCUAUCUUAGCAGCUGCACCAAUGAAAUGUCCUAACCAUCUGCUUGAAUUUUCAGAUGCCUUCUGUGCCUUGCUUUCUGACUCAUUCAGAUUCUUCUUUGCUUCACCAGCUAUUAGCCCAUUCCGGACGGACUUGCGUGUAUAAGGAAAGUGUGACAGAGAGUGAUUGUCUACAACAAGGGACAGUGGAGGACGGCUUGGAUAAGGUGGAAGUAAAAGGUCAUUGUUAUGCUCCACUGUUUCACCAGCAAAUGCAGAAGCUUCCUUUAUUACUUCUAAGUCAUCCCCUUCGUACUCCUUUAGCUUAUCCAAUAACAUCUUGCGGCUCUGUUCAAUCUCACUAAGGGCAACUUCUCUCUCAUAACGUUGCUGUUGCUGCAAAUCCUGGACAACAUGGGAAAACAAUUAAAGAGUUUGUAACCAUUAUUUAUGCCAUUUCACAGAAGCUGCUUUAUCUCUAUAAAUAUCCCUUUGUUUCGUUAGAUCAAAAAAGGUUGAACCUUUUAAUUUUGAACUCCCAUUUUACAAAAGCUCAUAAAUGCAUAGAGACAAUAAAAAUAAUCUUUGGAUUCAAACAACAUAGUAUAUAGUAAGCCUGCCCUGCAUUGUCUUUUAUCAAUCUUGGGUUAUUAGCUUGACUAUGCAGAUAUUAACACCUUAACAAACAUUUGGGGGUUUGGGUGAGGACGGGGGGAGAGGGAGGGCAAGUCAGCUAGAAAUAUUUUGGCGGCUUACCACUCUCACCCCCACCCCUACUGCCAAGCAAGAAACUGGUGCCACAUUCAAGGGAAACCAGUAGGAUUGAGAAAAUGGCCAGAAUAAGAAACAGAAGACUGAUGUAAACUCUCAUUUGGUUCACAGCAAUGCAAAACAACUAAAUCACAUAUUAGAUAUGAGUAAUCCAUGACAGGUUAGCAGAUUAUCAGUUCAUAAAAUCAGCUGGCCAAGACUUCUUUAUGAGAUCCAUCAUCCUUGUUAGCCUGAAACCUAAUAAAUUUUAUGAUGUUGCCCUCUUACUGUAUCUAAACAUGAGCAGAAAAAGGACACAAAUAUAGCGUGCACUUUCCCAAGGUGUUACCAGAAUGCUACACAUUGACAUUAUUAAUUAUUUUCAUAAAUUCUCAAAGUAAUUGGAUUUUAGUGUUAUCCCUUUGCUUUGGUAGCAACACAUUGACAUGUGAAUUACCCUUUGGCUCUAAAAAGUUCAAGAGCUCAAAGAGAACAUCCUUUAAUUUUCUUUAGACGGGAUAUCAAAGGUUAUUAACUUACGAUAUCUCUUGACUAUAAGAACUCACCUAGGAAUAGUUAUCUGCACCUAGGAAACUAUCCCUAUAUUUCAGAGUUUUAUAUGUGUGAUCAUGCUUUCUGCAGCUAAGAGAGCAUAUUCCUUAGAAUGAUUUCGACUUAGGGGAUAUCAAAGAUUGUCAUUUUAUCAAUUCAAGAGGAAGACUUCUCCUCAUGCAUUCUGGAAUUAUGUGAUGCAGUAUAUUCUAACUUCAGUCUUCAUAAGCAACUACCAAGAGAGUGCCACCAGACCAAACGCAUGAAGUACUGAGACAGUAAGUAAUAAACAAACAAUCUAAGACCAGCUUCAUUCUACAGUCUACACAAACAUCAAGCAAGUCUGAACUCCAGCUUAAAAAAACAUAUAUAGGUGCCGACUACGGGAAGCCCUCAUAUUAAACACUCCGAGACUUGACUUUAUAUGUGUUUCUCGUUUGUUGUCAAUGGAAAGGAUUCAAGAGAGUGUUCAUUAGGAUAUGCCCACAAAUUUAUGAAUAUUUGUCAGAUUUGGCAACAAUUAAUCAAGUAACAGCUAUUAAUGGCCUGUUUUCUUGGUAUGAG
rnacentral:misc_RNA from 1 species